rnacentral:rRNA from 1 species
AUUGAACGCUGGCGGCAUGCUUUACACAUGCAAGUCGAACGGUAACAGGCCUUCGGGUGCUGGCGAGUGGCGAACGAGUGAGUAAUGCAUCGGAACGUGCCCAGAGGUGGGGGAUAACGCAGCGAAAGCUGUGCUAAUACCGCAUGUGAUCUGAGGAUGAAAGCGGGGGACCCAGCAGCAAUGUUUGGCCUCGCGCCUCUGGAGCGGCCGAUGUCAGAUUAGGUAGUUGGUGGGGUAAAGGCCUACCAAGCCGACGAUCUGUAGCUGGUCUGAGAGGACGACCAGCCACACUGGGACUGAGACACGGCCCAGACUCCUACGGGAGGCAGCAGUGGGGAAUUUUGGACAAUGGGCGCAAGCCUGAUCCAGCAAUGCCGCGUGCGGGAAGAAGGCCUUCGGGUUGUAAACCGCUUUUGUACGGAACGAAAAGGCUCUGGCUAAUACCUGGGGCUGAUGACGGUACCGUAAGAAUAAGCACCGGCUAACUACGUG